rnacentral:misc_RNA from 1 species
GAUGAAGAACGUAGCAAAAUGCGAUACUUGGUGUGAAUUGCAGAAUCCCGUGAACCAUCGAGUUUUUGAACGCAAGUUGCGCCCGAAGCCUUUUGGCCGAGGGCACGUCUGCCUGGGCGUCACGCAUCGCGUCGCCCCCCACAAUUCUCCGUAAAGGGAACAUGUGUUUUGGGGGCGCAUAUUGGUCUCCCGUGCUCAUGGCGUGGUUGGCCGAAAUAGGAGUCCUUUCGAUGGACGCACGAACUAGUGGUGGUCGUAAAACCCCUCGUCUUUUGUUUCGUGCUGUUGCUCGCAAGGUAAACUCUUUAAAAACCCCAAUGUGUCGUCUCUUGACGACGCUUCGACCGCGACCCCAGGUCAGGCGGGACUACCCGCUGAGUUUAAGCAUAUCAAUAAGCGGAGGA